rnacentral:rRNA from 1 species
CCUACGGGAGGCAGCAGUGGGGGAUAUUGCACAAUGGGGGAAACCCUGAUGCAGCGACGCCGCGUGGGUGAAGAAGCGCCUCGGCGCGUAAAGCCCUGUCAGCAGGGAAGAAAAUGACGGUACCUGAAGAAGAAGCCCCGGCUAACUACGUGCCAGCAGCCGCGGUAAUACGUAGGGGGCAAGCGUUAUCCGGAUUUACUGGGUGUAAAGGGGGCGCAGACGGCGAUGCAAGCCAGGAGUGAAAGCCCGGGGCCCAACCCCUGGACUGCUCUUGGAACUGCGUGGCUAGAGUGCAGGAGGGGCAGGCGGAAUUCCUGGGGUAGCGGUGAAAUGCGUAGAUAUCAGGGGGAACACCGGUGGCGAAGGCGGCCUGCUGGACUGCAACUGACGUUGAGGCCCGAAAGCGUGGGGAGCAAACAGGAUUAGAUACCCCUGUAGUCC